UCGGCGUUGUCGGCGAGCUCGGCCGCGAUCUCGCGGUUGUUGACCCCGGCCUUGGCGACGAGCUCGUCGUUGGGCAGGUUGAGACCGGUGGCGUCGGU
rnacentral:tRNA from 1 species